CAGUGCAAACACAUGCACACACACGGAACACUUACAACCCCGAGACUCCAUUGUUGCUAAGGCUAACUGAGACCGUUCCUGCAGUAUAGGAAGGCCUUCCACACUGCCAGCAUCCCUCUCCUCACAGAAGCCAAGCUGUCCUGAGGUCCUUCCCCUUUCUGUUUGUCUUUAGAAAAGAACAGGAUUUUAAGAGAACAAUAAAACAUAACUAAAUAAAAUAUAAUAACAUAAAACAGAACCACCACAUCAAAGGACCAGGCAAACCAAGAAAAAGAUCCCAGGAGAAGGCACGAGAAUCAAAGGCCCACUUGUCCCCACACUCAGGAGUCCCAUAAAGACACUAAACUGAAAGCAAUGCUGUAUACCACAGAGGACCUGGUGCAGUAAGCUCAUCUUUAUAAAGCGACUCAGAUCCUGUGAAACUUCCACAAGUGAGAGCUUUCAUUUCUGGGAAAUUAUCUCAGCCCUUAAGAAUGACAGUCAUUUCACCUUACUCUUGAGGCGCUGGUCUUCAGUUCUCCAUCCCAGAAUAAAAUGUGCCGAACAAUCAGAAAACCUUUAACUCACCCAAAGAGAGACUGUCGCUGGGAUGUACACAGGAGCCAGUACAAGCUUGCUUUGAAGGAGGGUUGAAGGCCUUCAGCCAAAGGUCGCCCUUGCAGCCUCUUCCCACCCCUCCAGGAGGAACUGUCUGCUACAGUCCUGUGGGCUCAUACCUUCUGCUUCCCAAUGUCCACCAGCUCUACAGAGCCCCCCAGCCUCUGGACAUCCGCAGCUGCCACCUCCAUCAUUCUUCUGAUCUCUCCUCUCUUCUCCGGCCACGCGGACACGCUCUGGAUGGCCACCCACUCUGCCAGUUUCUGUUUGUAGAGAGCAAGUGGAAGGGGCUCCGACAUGCUGUUUUUGAAGGGCAGGCAGGGAUGGGCUCACCAAUGGACCUCUGUCUGCAGCUACUCCACUUUACGUGCACUGCAGACCUAGCUUGCUUGUCUGCUCCAUCUUUGGAUUAAACAACCAACCCAUGCUGUCCCCCCACCAAACUAAGCAGAAAUAAUAAUAAUUUAAAAAAGCCAGAAUGCGUAUUUUUAACCAUCAAGCAUAUGAUUGAUUAUAAACCAUACAAUAAGUUUAUAUCUAUAGCCAACAAAAUUGCUACAGAAAGAAAACGGACUGCAAUGUCACAAUCCAAAUUCACUAGUCUCUGUGAUGGCAGUCACAUUUUCUAAGGUGUAAGUUUUAAAGUCAAACGUUUUUGUCUACAAUGGUUCUUCCAAAAGUAAAGUGAAGUCAUGAUUCUAUCAGAUAGAAACCGAGCAACAGAUUAAAAUAUAACAUCAUAGAAUCACUCAGAACAUGCUUGGUUCAAAACUAUGUUUUUAAAUCUAUGACUAUCAAAACAAACCAUAGAUGAGAUUAGGGGAAAAUAACAAGCUUUAUUUGUAGAGAUGGACAAUUUAACUCUGUCAAAUGAUAAAAGUAUAGCUUUCACCAUCAUGAGGAGAUGAAGAAAUAUGAAAUUUAAAUACUCGAUCAAAACAGCGCAACUCUAUUAGCUUCUUGAAAAGUUCUCAUGUGACAAGAUUCAAGCAAACCUCACUACUCACUCAGAAGAGCCGACCCUCACCUUGACAUAGCGGUCCUGGUUUUCAUCGAUAUACUGGAAGACGGAUUUGAGGGCUGACAUCUUUCAGGCAGACCUCAGGCCUGGCAAACUCUGAGCAGAGAGAGCAAUGGGUCAGACCUGCUCGCAGCUGGGACUGAAGGGCAGUGAUCUGAGGCGCUGUGUGAGAACGGAGGGCUCCACCCUGUCAGCCUAACAUUGCAACACUUAUCACAGGACUCCCCAGGAAGUGACUGCACUUCAGUGCCAAGAGCUUGGGAGCCAAUUGGAGGCUUGGAUUGAUUUUUCCUUCCUGCUCUGAGAAGGAAGGCUGCAUUUAAAUUUGUGUGCAAAGAGGAGUGCCUGCCGUAGUAGCAGAUGAUCUGAAGAAAACUAGAAGUGGGUACUUUGAAA